CGCUCGCACGUGUCCGGGAAAAGCAAUCAGUUUCUAGCCGAUGCCCGUGAACUUAUUGCAUUGCGGGGUAGGCGAUGAAAACCCCAACCCUUGAAGCGUUAGCCAAUGUUUAUUGGUGUGGGUUGGCGUGGUACGUCGGAUUGUUGCCUUACCGACGGAUUGAACUUGGUGUAGCGGAACGGGUUCGAGUGGUGGGUUUUUUUCUGAUUUGGAACAGGCAUCUCUUCUGGAAGCCACUAGCUGUUGAUGACUGUAGGUGCAAUAGUAUACAGGUGAUUGCUUGGAUGCCUCGUGGGCAGUGCUUACAAUUUCCAUGGAAACUCACCCCACCAGCCGUGUGCGAUGGCUAAGAGAGUGAUCGUGUCAAAAUACAUCCAACGAGCAAUUGUUACUUCUACGCAGCCCACAAAGGAUUGGUUGGUCACGUUCGCAUUCACGAUGCAAUGUCCGAAAUGGUCGUGGCCGAACGAGCUCACCGUAACACGAUAUGUCCGAACGAACGAACGCCCGGCGAACGGUGGUCCUGCGGUGAAAUGCGUCAAAGAUUGAUUACUCCCUUGGCGCCCCGAACGAUAGUUGAUUAGACAGUUUCGCGAAAUAUUAAAUCCCAUCCCCACGUUGAUCCACCCUGUCUGGAAGGUUAACAGUGGAGGUCAGCCGACCCGCUUUUGUCUCGCUGGUGGUGCUGUGUGUGUGUGUGUGCGUGCUGUCGCAUUCAGCCUAACCAACCGCGUGGAAUGCUGUGUGCUCAUGGGCGGGGAAGCAUGCUAAUUUCCACGCGCUUGCGGAUCAAUUCAUCAUGCGCGUCAGCGAGACAAAUAAUUUGUUACCCUUGGGAGCGGUAGGACAUGAUUCGUUCGGCUGCGGUCGUCUUCUGUUUAGAACUGAAGCGAACGCAUCAUAACGAACAGGACGAAGAGUGUCGUACGAAUUCGGAGGGAAAGUCUAAUUUGCCAAUCCAAUGCCAUUAAGGCACGGGGCAUUCAUAACUCAACACAGCUGAGUUGAGCUGGUGUGGUAUCUAUGCGUGUUUCCGCUUGCUGUCGUUUUGGAUUUCAUAGGAUGGCUUCAACCCGUCACGUCAAAUGACAGGUGGAGCCGGGAAAGUCUAAUUUAUGGGCAAACACAAUUUAGGGCCAUAUCCAGGUCCGCACGUUUAAUCAAAAGUCCGUCAUGAUCACAUACUUGCUGUUGCGCAUCGCAGGUGUGUAGGUUACAUUCUACUAUUUUGCUGAGUAGCUGAAAGAUGAAUUGAAAGAAGGGUCUAAAUGAUUUCUGGUAUCAUUUUCGAAGGAAGAAAAUAUAUAAAUAAUAUUUGGUCCUUAAAAAUAAAAGUGGGUAAAAGUGU